AAUCGUGUGGACAUCACUGGGAAUGGAGGGAAAUAACUGACUGUAUGAUCGUUGCUUUUUAAGUUUCAAACUGACAUUCCAGGCGGGCUGUUGCCUGAGUGAGCAUCUGUCUUCAGAAUUUCACAGUGGGUUCCUGGGAAGGUGGAAGCCUCUCCCUGAUGGGUGAAGUGAGGAGCAGGAGGGGACCGACACGACAGAGGUGUGCAGCCUCCAGCAUCUCCUCCUUUGUGAACUGGAUCCUCCCCAAGGAGACUACGAGAUGAAGGACUUGGGGCCCCCAGUGGAUGUGGAUGAGAGUGUCUCUGGUCUGAGCUCUGUGCUGGGCUCAGGGGACAGAAGACAAAGCCCAAAGCAGCCCUGAUCCCUGCCUGAGGGAGGGGUGCAGAGAGUGCCUACGUGGAGGGGAAGUGAUUCCUUGCAGCCAGAGUCAGCUUCACCAGGCUCCUAAUCCAGAGGCAAGCCAGCUAAUACUUAGGGAGACACUGCAGAGACCUCUGGGCCCCUCAUAGGGUAUUUUUAAAUCAAGGACUCAAUUAUGGAUCACUGCCAAAGAAAAACAAAAUAUCCUGCCACCCUGGGAGAUGAAGUGAUGGUUUUUAUUUUUACUAGUAGAUUGUUCCAUUUAUAAAUCUUUGAUAAAUCCUUUUGCCCAGCCACACAGCAUCUGAACCUCUCCGGAAUUUACAAAAAAUAAAAACGUGAAAUCUGACAAAGGAAUGAGAGCUGGCCUUCCGUGCAUCCCAGAGCUUCAGAGCUUCUCAGGCUACAGCUCUGUGCGUUGCAUCUGUUAAGCCCCUGCUGGGUUGCAUCAUAUUUUGCAAAGCCACACGUGCUCUCUGAGGGCGACAGGAGCUAGCUCCCGUCCACCAGCUGGAAUCUCAGAGAGCGCAGUCUCUAAAAAUACCCAACUCUGCAGACUCACGCGGGGCCCAGGGGGCUUCUAGAUUGACAGGUCCCUUUAAGCAAAAACGUGGGUUUAAAAACAAAAAUCAGCAAGUCUUUUCCGCAUUGAUUGAUUUUUAGCUCCGGAGAGUUUUCGCAGGUCAUUUUCGGAGUAAUGGAAACUCCCCGGAAUUAUUUUAGGAAAAGUUAAAACGGGGCAAAGUGGAGCCAGCAGCCAGGCUUUGUCAGGGUCUGGGGCAUCUCCAGCGAGCGAGACGGAAGCCCAGCUUCACCGUGGCCAAGGUCACGGAGGGCGAGGCUGCGCCAGAACCUCUGCGCUGUGGGGCACAGACGGGAACGCGCUCGGCCGGCAGGUCAGAGGAGCUGCGCGCCUGCCCCUUCCAUCCUAGCGCGGAGGCUUCCUUCCCCCGGGCAUCCCCGGAGGGCAGGGGCCUGGUAUGGAACUUUAUGGUUGCUACGUGUAAGGGAGAAAACCGUGUCCAGAUCCCCCGAAAUGCACACAGCCGUGGGUGCGCAAGGUGGCACAACCGGAUGUGUGUGAAUUGUUCCCCCAGCGAUAUACAGAAUGAGGUUUUUUGGGGGAAAUACCUCCUCCUAGUCUCAUCGCUUCCAAAGACAGAAAAACCACAGGGUUCCUGGUAGAAGGGCGUUGGCUUUAUCAGCUUAGAGCAGGUCCUUCCUGGCCUCAGCCCCGCAGUAGAGACACAGUCAGACAGAAACGCACAGCUCAGGUGCUGACACACAUCCAGAGCUGUGUUCAAUCCUCAGAACGCCGUUCGGAAGAGGUUGGUGAGUCGCGGUGCCUUCUGCCUCUCUUUCGUUUAGUUGGGCACUGUGCCGAAUUUGAAGUCAUCUGAAUCCAAGGACAAGCCAAAAAAAAAAAAAAAAA
ensembl:lncRNA